rnacentral:rRNA from 1 species
GGCGUGCCUAAUACAUGCAAGUCGAAUGUUAGCUUGCUAACCAUGGCGAACGGGUGAGUAACACGUAGGCAACCUGUCUAAGAGACGAGGAUAACCAUUGGAACGAUGGAUAAUACUGGAUAAGAUAUUGGGAGGCAUCUUCUGAUAUUUAAAGAUUUAUCGCUAAUAGAGGGGCCUGCGGCGCAUUAGCUAGUUGGUGAGGUAACGGCCCACCAAGGCGAUGAUGCGUAGCCGGACUGAGAGGUUGAACGGCCACAAUGGGACUGAGAACGGCCCAUACUCCUACGGAGGCAGCAGUAGGGAAUUUUCGGCAAUGGACGAAAGUCUGACCGAGCAACGCCGCGUGAACGAAGAAGUAUUUCGGUAUGUAAAGUUCUUUUAUUUGGGAAGAAAAUACAUUGACUGUACCAAAUGAAUAAGCUCCGGCUAACUACGUGCCAGCCGCCGC